AACAGAGGAUGGAUUUGACUGCUUGCAACCUCGUUAAAACAAUGCUAAAACU
rnacentral:ncRNA from 1 species